rnacentral:rRNA from 1 species
GUGAGGAAUAUUGGUCAAUGGGCGCAAGCCUGAACCAGCCAUCCCGCGUGCAGGAAGACGGCGCUAUGCGUUGUAAACUGCUUUUCCAGGGAGAGAAACUUGCGCACGUGUUGCGCAAUUGACGGUACCCUGGGAAUAAGCAUCGGCUAACUCCGUGCCAGCAGCCGCGGUAAUACGGAGGAUGCGAGCGUUAUCCGGAUUCAUUGGGUUUAAAGGGUGCGUAGGCGGACUAUUAAGUCAGUGGUGAAAUACUGCAGCUUAACUGCAGAACUGCCAUUGAUACUGAUAGCCUUGAGUUUGGUUAAGGUAGGCGGAAUGUGUAAUGUAGCGGUGAAAUGCUUAGAUAUUACACAGAACACCAAUUGCGUAGGCAGCUUACUGAGCCGACACUGACGCUGAGGCACGAAAGCGUGGGGAUCGAACAGGAUUAGAUACCCGGGUAGUCC